rfam:Nannochloropsis gaditana strain B-31 chromosome 11, whole genome shotgun sequence.
UCCCGCGUAGCUCAGUUGGUAGAGCACGGUGCUAAUAACGCCGCGGUCUGAGGUUCAAGCCCUCACGUGGGAA